UUUAGCUUCCAGACGCAAUAUGUCUCACUGAGUCUGUAAUCUAAUUACUGAACACAGCUUUACCAUUUUCUAAUUUUAUUUUAAUUAUUUUUUACAGUUGAAAACCAUAAAAUAUGAUAUAAAUUUUCUUGUCAGUAUCCCUCAGUUCGAUAAGUGAUUUUAAGAGAAUGCAUGGUAAUGUACUUGGACUUAAGCUGCUGCACCUUAAUGUUAGAGUCAUACUGGAUAUUAACACAAGACGUUUUAAAUCGUUACUUUAUUCUUAAUUUAAUAUAUUUCAAGUAUUCAUAUUGUCAGUUAUGCAACAUGUUUGGUUAAAGCUAGCAGAAAAGCCACAACAGCCUGAAUGACAGUGUGAUCAAAAUUUAUUUAUUUAUUUUAAAUUUGAUAUAGGCAUUUGUACAUAUUGAGUGGUUAAAUAGUACUUGUGUUUUUUUAAACAUAUCAGGUAAAUGAAACUUAAAAAUGCAUAGAAAUGCCUUAUCACUGCAAGUAAUAUUAUUGAUCAUUCAUUCGUAAUGUCUCCAUAAAAACACAUUAAAAUAUCAAGUUAUCCAUGGAUUACUUCUUACACAAGUCUUGCCUCUGGCAUAGUCUAGCCAGUAAGUCAAAUUCUGGCAGCAGAAUGGUAAGAGAAAUGUCAAAAUACAAAAACACGGUACAGAAAUCGAGGUGUCAUGUAGGAAAACCUCAUCUGCUCGAGAACUGAAUGUCUGGUCAGAGCUACUAAUGAAAAUGGCCGCUGAGUAUGAAGCUGGGUUUUCCUUAUUGACAUUAAUUCUAGCAGUCUAUAGGAAAUAUAAUUUCCUUUUUUUUUGGAUUGACUGUAGGAGAUUGUCUCUGCAGUUUCUUCAGCCAGGAUCUCAGCCUGACUCUCUCAGUAGAUUGAGAAACAUUGAAUACCUUCAUAAGUGUCAUUCUUUGAAGGUGAAGUUAUUCGUGACAUGGGAGGUUGUCCACACCAACGUUACAUGUACACAGACACGCACAUGUUACAGUGACCGAGCCGGAUGUGUCUGUCUGGCCCCAUUGUGCUAAUUGCUUCUCAUUAAGAUGGAUGUAAACUUGCCGCACUGAGCCAGCCGCUGAGGAGUCAAAGUUUAACACAAAAAAGUUCAGAAAAACCAGCAACAAUAAGCCUCCCCCCGCAGCUCCCCAGCCUCAUUACAACAGACUAGCCAUGCGACUCGGGCAGAGCUCGGUCACUGCCGGCCCUCUCUGGGCUGCAGUUCUCAAAUCGACAAACCUUCAUUUUUUCAAAAGCUGGAAAAAAAAAUGCGUCAAGAUGGGUGAAAAGGGGAGGCCAUGCUAAUGGGCUUGAGUGGCCCUAAUGACCCGGCCUGAGCUUCCUACUCCUCCAGGCUGGAGCCCACUGUUUGUGGGCCUUUUUAUUGGCCCUGGUCGAGGCGUAGUCAGCAGUCCGUGAAGGCGUCGCUCCUGAAAGGGCACUUUCCCUGCGCUGUGAAUAGGCAGGCGGGGCAGAUAUUUGUGUAGGGAGACAACUCACAAGAGCGGCUUCUGGCACAACGGGGGCUCUGCUGUCUGUUUUUGGCCUACAGUUAUCACAGCUGUGCACUGUCAAAGGGCAUAAGAGGGUGAAUCCCCCCCUCCAGCAUGCACACAGAUAGGAGCAGAGCAUUUUACAUAAGCCUUGCAUUCGUAAAAUUGGAUCGAAUGAAGUAUUUGGAUAUGGGUAGAGUAAAUUCAGGCAGAAGACAAGGCCAGCCUUACUGAGGGGCCACCCUGGGUCUCAUCUGAUAUGAUCUCAGUAGUAUGGCAGUGACGCUAUU